UACGGGGGGGGCAAGCGUCGUUCGGAAUUACUGGGCGUAAAGGGCUCGUAGGCGGCCAACUAAGUCCGACGUGAAAUCCCCAGGCUUAACCUGGGAACUGCGUCGGAUACUGGAUGGCUUGAAUUCGGGAGAGGGAUGCAGAAUUCCAGGUGUAGCGGUGAAAUGCGUAGAUAUCUGGAGGAAUACCGGUGGCGAAGGCGGCAUCCUGGACCGAGAUUGACGCUGAUGAGCGAAAGCUAGGGGAGCAAACGGG
rnacentral:rRNA from 1 species